AUUCUAGAGUUUGAUCAUGGCUCAGGACGAACGCUGACGGCGUGCCUAAUACAUGCAAGUCGAGCGGACAGAAGGGAGCUUGCUCCCGGAUGUUAGCGGCGGACGGGUGAGUAACACGUGGGUAACCUGCCUGUAAGACUGGGAUAACUCCGGGAAACCGGAGCUAAUACCGGAUAGUUCCUUGAACCGCAUGGUUCAAGGAUGAAAGACGGUUUCGGCUGUCACUUACAGAUGGACCCGCGGCGCAUUAGCUAGUUGGUGGGGUAAUGGCUCACCAAGGCGACGAUGCGUAGCCGACCUGAGAGGGUGAUCGGCCACACUGGGACUGAGACACGGCCCAGACUCCUACGGGAGGCAGCAGUAGGGAAUCUUCCGCAAUGGACGAAAGUCUGACGGAGCAACGCCGCGUGAGUGAUGAAGGUUUUCGGAUCGUAAAGCUCUGUUGUUAGGGAAGAACAAGUGCGAGAGUAGCUGCUCGCACCUUGACGGUACCUAACCAGAAAGCCACGGCUAACUACGUGCCAGCAGCCGCGGUAAUACGUAGGUGGCAAGCGUUGUCCGGAAUUAUUGGGCGUAAAGGGCUCGCAGGCGGUUUCUUAAGUCUGAUGUGAAAGCCCCCGGCUCAACCGGGGAGGGUCAUUGGAAACUGGGAAACUUGAGUGCAGAAGAGGAGAGUGGAAUUCCACGUGUAGCGGUGAAAUGCGUAGAGAUGUGGAGGAACACCAGUGGCGAAGGCGACUCUCUGGUCUGUAACUGACGCUGAGGAGCGAAAGCGUGGGGAGCGAACAGGAUUAGAUACCCUGGUAGUCCACGCCGUAAACGAUGAGUGCUAAGUGUUAGGGGGUUUCCGCCCCUUAGUGCUGCAGCUAACGCAUUAAGCACUCCGCCUGGGGGAGUACGGUCGCAAGACUGAAACUCAAAGGAAUUGACGGGGGCCCGCACAAGCGGUGGAGCAUGUGGUUUAAUUCGAAGCAACGCGAAGAACCUUACCAGGUCUUGACAUCCUCUGACAACCCUAGAGAUAGGGCUUUCCCUUCGGGGACAGAGUGACAGGUGGUGCAUGGUUGUCGUCAGCUCGUGUCGUGAGAUGUUGGGUUAAGUCCCGCAACGAGCGCAACCCUUGAUCUUAGUUGCCAGCAUUUAGUUGGGCACUCUAAGGUGACUGCCGGUGACAAACCGGAGGAAGGUGGGGAUGACGUCAAAUCAUCAUGCCCCUUAUGACCUGGGCUACACACGUGCUACAAUGGACAGAACAAAGGGCUGCGAGACCGCAAGGUUUAGCCAAUCCCAUAAAUCUGUUCUCAGUUCGGAUCGCAGUCUGCAACUCGACUGCGUGAAGCUGGAAUCGCUAGUAAUCGCGGAUCAGCAUGCCGCGGUGAACACGUUCCCGGGCCUUGUACACACCGCCCGUCACACGGUACCAU
rnacentral:rRNA from 1 species